GUGAAUCGGUUGCCAAAUACAGCGUUUAUCCGCCGACAUAUGAAGGCUCGUAUAUAGUGUGUUCAGGUUAUUUUUCCUCGAAGUUCCUAUAACAAAACCGGGCACUCUUGAAGGAAAAUAAACUUUCAUUCGAAAACUGUUGUUUGAGGCCAGAAUGAGUGCGUUCUCAAUUACAUUCAUCAGGCAGAAAUUAAUGGCUAUCAUCAUGCAUCACAAGAGAUCCUACCACAGGCCUGCGUCAUGUCACCAUGUCAUUGCGCUGCAAGUCUCAACAGAGUGCCGGCCGAGCAAAUGGUGAUUAAGUUGGAAGGGCACUGCAUUAUUUCGAAGACGCAUGCUUCAGCCGCAAGGUGGGGGUUCAUCUGCGCUCAACGGCCCGCCGGUGAUGCCCCAACACGAUGAUGUCAGUUGCUCACUGGAGGGAAAGCAGAGGGUGGUCAGGCGUCGCAACAGCAAGGCUAGUAGCCCUUUAGAGAUUGACUUAAUGGAGAGCAAUUACUUUGAUGAGUUGGUGUAGUCAGAGUAAUAUUUUAUG